AGACGGAGGGUGCAAACGUUGUUCGGAAUCACUGGGCAUAAAGCGCGCGUAGGCGGUCCUUUAAGUCAGUUGUGAAAUCCCUCGGCUCAACCGAGGAACUGCAACUGAUACUGGAGGACUUGAGGAUGGUAGGGGUGAGCGGAACUCCAGGUGGAGCGGUGAAAUGCGUAGAUAUCUGGAGGAACACCGGUGGCGAAAGCGGCUCACUGGACCAUCACUGACGCUGAGGUGCGAAAGCUAGGGUAGCAAACGGGAUUAGAACCCCCAGUAGUCC
rnacentral:rRNA from 1 species